ACCCGUCACAGCCAGGGAGGCCCAGGCUGCCGCUCACAGAACAGCUGAGACAUGAAAGUGACCUGAGUCGCCACCUGUGACCAGUGUGCUGCCACCCUCGGAGGCAUCUGGACAGCCCAUGGGGAGGGGCGCAGGGACCAGGUCUCUUCUUACGCUGUUGGCAGCAAUCCUCAGGUGUGUCUUCACGCCCAGCCAUGCAGGCUCAGCUCAGCUGGACGCUCCAAGGUGACCAUUAGUCACCACACUAGACCACAGGCCUGCCCACCGCGCCCGGCUCACCCUGACCAUUUUCCAGUGUGCAGAUCACAUUUCCGACACUGUUCAAGCACAGCUGCCAUCCGCUUCUGAAAUGUUCCCUCUGCGCCUCCCCACCUCCCGGCCAGGUGGAGCAGGACCCACAGUGCAGCGGCGGUGCAUUCCCUCGGGGGGCGUGGCUGCCCUCCCUGGGCUGACGUUUGCUGUGUGCAGUGCCUCCUCAGACCAUGGGGGCUCCUGGCCUCUGAGGUCACGGCCCGGUGACCCUGUGGGCAGCCUCCAGGCGCCACCUGCAUGGUGGUGCACACCUGUCAUCCCAGCUCGGGGGAGGCUGAGGCAGGAGGAUCCCUGUGAAUUCGAGGCCAGCCUGGGCUACACAGCAAGACCCUGUCUCAGAAAACAAAUGAGCAGAAGAGCUUGUCUUGGGAGCCUGACUACUUUGCUGGCUGGCCUCACCCUCAGCGCACUUGGGCCAGGCGCCUUGGAGCAGGGAGAGCUGGAACCUCUGCCCAGGAUCCACAUUGCCAUUCGCCGGCAGAAUUUCUUCUUCAUCAGGGAAACCUCUUUUGUUCUUUUUUUUUCACCGGGAACUGAACCCAGGGCCUUUGCCCCGAGCUCCAUGUCCAGCCCUCUUU
rnacentral:lncRNA from 1 species